rnacentral:rRNA from 1 species
AUGAAGACCGCAGCUAAAUGCGCGUCAGAAUGUGAACUGCAGGACACAUGAACACCGACACGUUGAACGCAUAUUGCGCAUCGGACGUCUCAACCCGACCGAUGCACACAUCCUUGAGUGCCUACCAAGUUAUCAAUAAGCUCAUACCAAACUGACUGUCCCAUCUCGCGAUGGGCUGUCGCAGCAUGGCGUGCUCGGACCCGCACCUGAUGCGGGACCGUGGGCGCUGAAAGUGAGAGUGCUAUUAUGACAGGUGGUACAUGCAAGGGCGAGCGAUGAACGGGCGCGCGACAAGCCGCACGGUUCGACCUCCAGUAUCAACUAGGGAUGAAACCCCCGCAGCCUAACAGAUAACACCAGGCGCUAGCAAAGGGGUCCCCGGUUGGCUCGGGUCGAGUAACACUUGCGGCCCAACGCGCCCGUUAAAUCAUCGWUUCGCGCCUUCUCUCUCAAAGUAGGCCUCAAGUGAUGUGUG